rnacentral:lncRNA from 1 species
CUCUCACCAUGAAGAUUCCAAAUAACAUAAUUUAUGGGAAAUUGUUUUAAAAUCAAGUGCUCCUCAACUAUGCCUCUAGCUUGCCAUUUCACAAACCCACAUUUGGGGCAUGGACAUCGAAUUGUGUCUCCAGAGGCCCCAUUCUCAAAAGCAAAAUCUAAGAAUUUUUGCAAACCAAUUGAGUAUUCAACUGUAUUUCGGGACUUAGUUAUCCAAGAUUUAUCCAUUCAAAAAUAUUCCUAAACAAAAUAAAAUACACUAACACAUGAAAAAGAAUACAAUAUUCAUGGAAAAUACAAAUAAAUAAUGAAUUAGAAAAAAUGAAAUACUUGUUUCUAAAUGGAUUGAAAUACUUGUUUCUACUAACCUUGAAGCGGUGAGAUUGCAAUGCUUAAAGAAAAACCUGCAACAUCAAUUAUGAAAAAGAAAAAUGUCUUAUGUCUAGAUUGGGUUAAUGUCUUGUUUGUGUUAUGUUUUUCUUGAGAUCCUCUAGAUUGGACAUAUCUGCAGUUUAAUAAUACUCAUAAGAAGGAAGAAAAUGAUUUGUAUUUGGAAGAAUGGAUUUGAAAGGAAAAAGAGAUAUAAUUGGAGUUGUUUAAAUAAAGAGAAAAGUGAUUAUGAAUGAAAGAAAAUUUAUAAAAAUUAGUGAAUGGUUUUAUGGAUUUGAUAAAUUAAAAAUUGUUUUAUUUAAUAAAAUUAAAUAAUUAUUAUUUUAUCUUUGAUUAUAAAAGUAAUUUAAAAUAAAUUAUUAUUAUUAUUAUUAUUGAAAAUUGAAAAUUGAAUUGGAUUGGGAGAGAGAAAGAAAGGAUAGAUUCGAAAAUUGGUUUCAGUUGUAUUCUUAUAAUAAUAUAUUACCUACACAAAUUCAUAAAAGAAACCUAUAUUUGUAAAUGUAGUUUGAACCGGUGGGCUUAAGAGUCUUAAAAUUUUCACACAACCACACCCUAAAUCUACGCCCCUAAACAGUAGAGGAGUGGAAACAAACAUACACUAAAUAUUGAAGAUACAAUGAAAUAUAAUCAAUUAGAAAGCGACUUAUUAAUUUUAAUAGUUUUUACUUUUUGAAUUAAUUUAAUAUAGUUUCAAUUUUAUUUUUUAAUGAAAGUUCAAUUUUCAUCAAUUUAAUCUUUUUUUAUAAACAAUUAACCUGGCAAAUUAUGUCUAGAUUGGACAUAUCUGCAGUUUAAUAAAUGAGACAUAUAAAUGAGUUUGGAUCUUAUUACCUUUCCAAAUGAGACAACAAGCUAAUAAAGAGUCACAAUUCAGAAAGGUAACUUCUCCUUCUUAACCUGAAACUGAGAAAUCAAACAUGUGGUACAUAUCAUUUACCUUUAAGAUAUCUGUUUCAAUAAGAUAUCAAACAUGUGACUAUGAAGAAGUGUAUGAGUAGUUUCAAUAAGAUAUCUGUUUCUCUGUUCUACUACAUUUUGUAGAAGACUAUGAGGACAUGAAAUUUGAUGAAAAAUAUCAUUGUAGCCCAUGAAGUAAUAAAAUUGGUGAGACAAAUAUUCGUGGAAUUGUUGUAGUGAAAAGCACAUGAAUAAGAAAAUUUGUGCUUUGAUUUCAUUAGAAAAGGUUUUAAAUAUAGGAAACACUUUUCAUUAGAAAAGCUC